rnacentral:lncRNA from 1 species
GGGAGAAUGACUUAUAAAAGGCUACACAGUAUCUGUGGUAGCCAGCCUCCAAGAUGGUCCCCAGGGAUCCUGCCUGCUGGUGUUCAUACCCUUGUGUAGCCCCCUGGCACGCUGAAUCAGGGUGGUCUUUGUGACCCGUAGAGUAUGGCAGAGGUGACAGUGUAUAGUUUCUGAAGCUAGGUCAUAAAGGGCACUGUGGCUUCUGCCUUGCUCUGUUGGGUCACUGGCUGAGAGGAAGCUAGCCACCAUGUUGUGAGCUAUCCUGUGGAGAACUCCACACGAAGAGGAACUGAGGCCUCCCACCCACAGCCAGCACCAACGUGCCAGUCAUAUGAGGGCGCCAUCUUGGAUCUUCCAGCCCCAGUCAAGCCUUCAGAUGGCUGCAGCCCAGGCCAGCAUAUGAUUGUAACCUCAUGAGAGACCCUAAGCCAGAACUGCUAGCCAAGCCACUCCUGAAGUCCUGAUCCAUGGAAACUGUGAAAGACAAUAUAUGCUUAUUCUUAUUUUAAGCUGCUAAUUUGGGGGUAAUUUGUUCCCAGCAACAGAUAAGUAAGAUAGUCUUCAUUGAUUAAGCAAAUAUCCAAUGAGCCAAACCUCCUGUGCUUUCAGUAACCCUUUAAAGGAACUCCUUUAAAAAAUUAUCUUGAAAGUAUCUACUCACACCUGAAAAAAGGGCCUCCAUUGUGGUGAAUGACUAAGACAUGGUUUGGGCUAAGGACUGCGAGGACUUCAAGGUCCCUCCAGGGUCUGAGGUCCCAGGACUGGGCCAGGGUGGGGAGCUGCUGCUGACUCAGUUGAUCUCCAUAGCCCUUCUCCUGCUAAAACUGCAAUCAGAGCCUUCCAGGAACCUGACUCCCAUUCCUUGCUCCCUCCAUAUCGGGCGACAGAACGUGAUAGCGAGAAGCCCAAGCUUUGAGGUCAAGCAGGCCUGUGUUCAAACCCUGGCUGCUCCUCUUCCAAAUCCGUGGGACCUUGAACAAGCAGCUGCACUUCUCUGAAUCCCAGUUUCCUCAUCAGAAAAAUCAGAGAACCGAUGCCUUGCUCAUAGGUUGUUGUAUAAAGCGGAAAUAACACUUGCCCUGUAACUGUGACCCUUGGGAAACACUCAAGAGGCAGGUAGUGAUCAUCAAACCACAGACUGGCGGGUGCUCCCAGGGCUGUUGGGGACCAUUGUCCCCCUCACCGAGGCUGAGGUUUGGUCCUAUUCGGCUGCCCCGUGUGCUGCUGCACCCCGUCCUGGCUCGGCCGCGCCCUGACGGCGAGUUUGAAGGGCCAAGUGAGCAUAUGGCCUCAUGACAGAACUUGGUUGGAGACAGGUCUGCUUCCUCUCCCUCGUUAGUGUCGCCCGGGGGCCUCGCCCUCCUUAGCAGAGGCCUGGAUAACGAAGGCCACAGCCUAUUAAUUGCGCUGACAGUGAUAAAGGAAGAGGGGGAGGCUGCUAUUUGUCUUGCCCGUAACCUCUCGCAUCAUUCCAAGAUGAAUGAAAACUCAUUUUCU